rnacentral:rRNA from 1 species
UACGGGGGGGGCAAGCGUUGUUCGGAAUUACUGGGCGUAAAGGGCUCGUAGGCGGCCAACUAAGUCGGAUGUGAAAUCCCCAGGCUCAACCUGGGAACUGCAUCCGAUACUGGAAGGCUUGAAUCCGGGAGAGGGAUGCGGAAUUCCAGGUGUAGCGGUGAAAUGCGUAGAUAUCUGGAGGAACACCGGUGGCGAAGGCGGCAUCCUGGACCGGUAUUGACGCUGAGGCGCGAAAGCCAGGGGAGCAAACGGG